UACGGAAGCAGCAGUGGGGAAUAUUGCACAAUGGGCGAAAGCCUGAUGCAGCUAUGCCGCGUGUAUGAAGAAGGCCUUAGGGUUGUAAAGUACUUUCAUCGGGGAGGAAAAAACAAAACUAAUAAUUUUAUUUCUUGACGUUACCCGAAAAAGAAGCACCGGCUAACUCCGUGCCAGCAGCCGCGGUAAUACGGAGGGUGCUAGCGUUAAUCAGAAUUACUGGGCGUAAAGAGCACGUAGGUGGUUUUUUUAAGUCAGAUGUGAAAUCCCUGGGCUUAACCUAGGAACUGCAUUUUGAAACUGAAAUACUAGAGUAUCGUAGAGGGAGGUAGAAUUCUAGGUGUAGCGGUGAAAUGCGUAGAUAUCUGGAGGAAUACCUGUGGCGAAAGCGGCCUCCUAAACGAAUACUGACACUGAGGGUGCGAAAGCGUGGGGAGCAAACAGGGAUUAGAUACC
rnacentral:rRNA from 1 species